rnacentral:sRNA from 1 species
GCCAGGUGUGGUGGCACAAGCCUGUAAUCCCAGUGGCUCGGGAGGCUGAGGCAGGAGGAUCGAGAGUUCAAAGCCAGCCUCAGCAAAAGCAAGGCUCUAAGCAACUCAGUGAGACCCUGUCUCUA